rnacentral:rRNA from 1 species
CUCCGGUUGAUCCUGCCGGACCUGACUGCUAUCGGAUUGGUACUAAGCCAUGCGAGUCGUUGUAGCAAUACAAGGCGGACGGCUCAGUAACACGUAGUCAACCUAACCUAUGGACGUGGAUAACCUCGGGAAACUGAGAAUAAACCGCGAUAGAUCAUUAUGCCUGGAGUGGCUUAUGGUUCAAACAAUUUAUUGCCGUAGGAUGGGACUGCGGCCUAUCAGCUUGUUGGUGAGGUAAUGGCCCACCAAGGCUAUAACAGGUACGGGCUCUGAGAGGAGAAGCCCGGAGAUGGGUACUGAGACACGGACCCAGGCCCUAUGGGGCGCAGCAGGCGAGAAACCUUAGCAAUGUGCGAAAGCACGACUAGGUUAAUCCGAGUGAUUUCUGUUGAAGAAAUCUUUUGUCAGUCGUAAAACCACAGACGAAUAAGGGGUGGGCAAGUCUGGUGUCAGCCGCCGCGGUAAUACCAGCACCCCGAGUGGUCGGGACGAUUAUUGGGCCUAAAGCAUCCGUAGCCGGUUCUGCAAGUCCCCCGUUAAAUCCAGCUGCUCAACAGAUGGGCCGCGGAGGAUACUACAGAGCUAGGAGGCAGGAGAGGCAAGCGGUACUCAGUGGGUAGGGGUAAAAUCCGUUGAUCCAUUGAAGACCACCAGUGGCGAAGGCGGCUUGCCAGAAUGCGCUCGACGGUGAGGGAUGAAAGCUGGGGGAGCAAACCGGAUUAGAUACCCGGGUAGUCCCAGCCGUAAACGAUGCAGACUCGGUGAUGGGUUGGCUUCGCGCUAACCCAGUGCCGCAGGGAAGCCGUUAAGUCUGCCGCCUGGGUAGUACGGUCGCAAGACUGAAACUUAAAGGAAUUGGCGGGGGAGCA